rnacentral:rRNA from 1 species
GUCUACAGCCAUGCCACCCUGAACAAGCCCAAUGUCUGAUCUUGGAAGCUAAGGAGGGUCGGGCCUGGUUAGUACUGGAUAGGCGACCUCAUAGGGAGAUCAUGUGAUGUAGACA